GAUUUGUCAUCAUUAAUUAAUUUUUCAUAAUUAUAAAAUUUUAACUACUUAAAUUAAGUUUUUUGUAUAUUAAUCUUAAUCGAAUUUUUAAGAAAAGAAAAACUAAAAGAAAGUAAUCUUAAUACGUCUCAUAAAAAUAGUGAAAUUUUAGUAACACACAUUUCUAAAAUUCCUAAAUCCUUUUUGCUGACUAAGAGUUAUGUGUGAUAUACAGAUUAUCUUUUGAGACGCAUACCUCAGUUUAUUCUUUGUGAAUAUAGAUACAUACAUAUAUUAUAAAAAUUUGAUAAAAAUAUUUAUAUAAAAGUGAGUUUGAAAUUUUUUUUUUCACAAUGAACAUAGAAUUUUUAAUUCUUUGAUCACAAAUAUGUGUAUUAUUAUUAAAUAGUUUUACAAAUAUUUUAAGUGUAAUAAAAAAAAAAAAUCCAUCAUCAAUGAAGAAAGAAAAUAAAUAAGCAAAAAUUUUUGCAAAUGAAAAUGCAAAUAAUUCAAAAAAAAGUGAUAAUUUUACUUUUAUUUUUUUUCCCCACGUGUAAUUGGUGUCGUUGUAUUAAACUUGAAAAUAAUGAAAGAAAUAAAAUUGAUGAUAAAAAUUCAAAAAUAAUUGUUCAAAUAGAAAAAAAUAAUUUGAAUUUAGAAAAAGAAAUUUCCAAUAGUAAAAGAUUUGAUAAUAUUUUUGAGAAAGCAAUAUUAAGAAUAAUGACUGGUAAUUUAACUAAAAGCGAUUUGGAAUUAUUAAAAAGUUUAAAUUACAGUUCUAAAGAAAUUUUUGAUUUUCAAGAGCAAAAAAAUGAAAUGAGAAAAAAACAUUUAGAAAGAAGACAAAAAAUUAAAACACAUAGAAAUCAAAUUUUAAAUGAUUCUUUAACAUUUAUUACAAGAAGCUCAUCGAGAAUUUAUGAAAGUAAAGAAAAUGAAUUUGAAGAAUAUAAUAGACAAGCUGUUUAUGAUUAUGAAAAUAUGAUGGCCGAUAUUGAUGAAUCAGAAUUGGAAAUAUCAUCAUCGACAACAUUUCAAGAAAUUUAUCAAAAUGUAAAUAAAAUAAUGAAAUCACAAAUAACAUUUAAGUCGCUCAAUGAUUCUGAAUUUAAUUCAUUUUUCAAUGAAAAAACCCUCGUAAAUAAUAUAUCAAAAAUAAUUGAUAAUUAUCAAAAUUCGAAAAAUGUGAUAUUUUCAAAAGGAACAUGAAUUCAAUCAAGAAAAUAAUUAUUUAAAAGAACUUUUAUUUAAUAUGUUAACAAUGAUCAACAGAAAUUUUAAAAGUCCAUCUCAAAAUAUAUCAAAUUCGAAUUUAAUGGAUAAAAAAAUACGGAAAAGAAUUAAUUCCAAGGAUGAUGAUGAUGAUAACAAAUUUUAUUCCAAAAUAAUGGCUAAGGAAAUUAGUUAUAAUUAUUCCAAGGACGAAGAUGUGUCUUGAGUUUUGUUCUUUUUAAAAUAAUCUCAUUAGUUCAGAAAAAAACAUGUUAAGGUUUACUGGAUGCAUUUUCUGGCAUUGGAUUUACACUUAAACAAAUAUUGCUACGGAGAAUAUUGAAUAAUUUCAAGAUAAAAAAUAAAGUCAAAUACUUGGAAUGACUUUUUAUAUAAAUAAAAGAAGUAAAUCACUAUUUCAGGCCUCGGAUCGUCUUUAAGGCGCAAAAAAGUUUUUAAUUUUAUUUUGUAUAAGUCAAAAAAAAAAAAAAAAUUGCCUUUUAUUAAAAUAAGUCGGAAAAAUCUUAUAAUCCGAGGCCUCUUUUUCAUUUUCUCAACUAUUAUUAAAGUUUUGUGAAUUUAGUAUUUCUAAAAUUAUUAAUUAUACAUAUUUAUAUUACAGUUAUGUAAUAAUAUAUUAAAGAUAUUAAAA